rnacentral:sRNA from 1 species
GGGGAUCAUUACCGAGUUUACAACUCCCAAACCCCUGUGAACAUACCAAUUGUUGCCUCGGCGGAUCAACCCGCUCCCGGUAAAACGGGACGGCCCGCCAGAGGACCCCUAAACUCUGUUUCUAUAUGUAACUUCUGAGUAAAACCAUAAAUAAAUCAAAACUUUCAACAACGGAUCUCUUGGUUCUGGCAUCGAUGAAGAACUCAGCAAAAUGCGAUAAGUAAUGUGAAUUGCAGAAUUCAGUGAAUCAUCGAAUCUUUGAACGCACAUCGCGCCCGCCAGUAUUCUGGCGGGCAUGCCUGUUCGAGCGUCAUUUCAACCCUCAAGCCCCCGGGUUUGGUGUUGGGGAUCGGCGAGCCCUUGCGGCAAGCCGGCCCCGAAAUCUAGUGGCGGUCUCGCUGCAGCUUCCAUUGCGUAGUAGUAAAACCCUCGCAACUGGUACGCGGCGCGGCCAAGCCGUUAAACCCCCAACUUCUGAAUGUUGACCUCGGAUCAGGUAGGAAUACCCGCUGAACUUAA